rnacentral:rRNA from 1 species
AUCUCUUUUGCUAUUUUUUAGUAUUGGAGAUUUUGUUACUUUGAGUAAAUUAGAGUGUUCAAAGCAAACAGUUAAAGCAUUUUUACUGCGUUUGAAUACUACAGCAUGGAAUAACAAAAUUGAACAAGUCAGAAUUCUGUUCUUUUUUCUUAUUUUGGCUUAGUUACGAUUAAUAGGAGUAGCUUGGGGGCAUUUGUAUUCAGAUGUCAGAGGUGAAAUUCUUAGAUUUUCUGGAGACAAACAACUGCGAAAGCAUUUGCCUAAAAUACUUCCAUUAAUCAAGAACGAAAGUUAAGGGAGUGAAGACGAUCAGAUACCGUCGUAAUCUUAACCAUAAACUAUGCCGACUAGGUUUUGGAUGAAACAUUUUUAAAUAAGAAAAUUCCUUUCGGGGAAAUUUCUUAGAUUGCUUCCUUCAGUACCUUAUGAGAAAUCAAAGUCUUUGGGUUCUGGGGCGAGUAUUCGCGCAAGCGAGAAAGUUAAAAGAAUUGACGGAAGGGCACCACCAGGCGUGGAGCUUGCGGCUUAAUUUGACUCAACACGGGGAAACUCACUAGUUUAAGACAAGAGUAGGAUUGACAGAUUAAUAGCUCUUUCUUGAUUUCUUGGAUGGUGAUGCAUGGCCGUUUUUAGUUCGUGAAUAUGAUUUGUCUGGUUAAUUCCGAUAACGAACGAGAUCUUAACCUGCUAAUUAGCGGCGAAUACGUCAUAUUCUUAUGCGAAAUUGAAUAUAGCUGAAUUUGCUUAUUUUGAAGAAUACAUUAGGAUACAAUUAAUGUGUCCUUUUCC